rnacentral:lncRNA from 1 species
AAUAGUGAACAAAAGCAUACUCCUGUAUUGUGUUGUGGUGUCUCCAGGUCUACUAGCGAGGACAAGGUGGAGAUGAUCUGGCUGCAGAAACAGCUAGUUGAGAAGGGCAACACGUUCACUGUGCUCGAGGGCAGAUUCCUACAACUCCAAGAGGUGAAACACAACAGCACGUUACAGGAUACACUAGUUGAUUAGCAAUGCUCUAGCACACGGGCGGGCAAACUUUUGGAAAAUGUUUUGGUCUCCCCAGCACAUUGUAAUCAAUAGUCGUCGUGGAAACUUCAAAUAACUUGUUCUUUCGAAAGAACACAUACUAUUUAAACCCAGUCACCAUGGUAAUGACCCCUAUGUUGUGAUUGCAGAGUCAGUGGACCCUGAAGGCCAGUCAUGAAGCUGUGAUGGCCAAGAUGGACGAGCUCACGGGCCAUCUGAAAGACGAGCGACUGAGAAGUCUUGGCCUGGAGAGCCAACUACAAGGCCAACUCAUUCUCACAGAGGAGGACAGAGGAGCAAAUCCAUGACCUGGAGAAGGAGAGAGAGCUGCUAAAGGAGAACUGUGAUAAACUAAUGAACAGAAAUUCGGGACGUGAGAGCAGCAGCUGAAACUACAGAUAGCCCAGCUAGAGGUGGCACUGAAGUCUGACCUGACAGACCAAAACGAGAUUCUGGACAAGAUCACGGUUGAAAGAGGUAUCUGUUGAAAGAGGAGUCAAGAAAAUAAAGAGAUUCAGCUUUGGUUUCUGGAGCAAAAGCAGCAGUUGGAUGAAAUAAAGGAUCAGAUGAAGUUCUACACCAAGGUUCUCACUCCAAAUAAGAAUGAAUGAAUGUUUUUUGUGUGCAGAUAUGUACACCAUGUCAUUACUCUGCUGUGCAUACAUCUUGCUAGCUGUCACUCAUAUGGCGAGGGGCUGAAGCUCAUUGGUUGAACUCAAAUUGCUAGGGGGCUGACCCAGGUGGGGGAAAAUGUAUGGAAAAUGGCGCAGCAGAGCUUCCAGAAAAACAGUUGCUUUCAAACUACACAUUGAUACAUCCAGCCUAAAGCUGGAGGUUCAAUAAAUACAUAGUAGUCGCAAAAGGUUUUUUUUAGGAACAGUGGAUUAACUGCCUUGUUCAGGGGCAGAACGAG